rnacentral:rRNA from 1 species
AUUGAACGCUGGCGGCAGGCCUAACACAUGCAAGUCGAGCGGAUGAAGCGUGCUUGCUCCUGGUUUCAGCGGCGGACGGGUGAGUAAUGCCUAGGAAUCUGCCUGGUAGUGGGGGAUAAUGUCCGGAAACGGGCGCUAAUACCGCAUACGUCCUGAGGGAGAAAGUGGGGGGUCUUCGGACCUCACGCUAUCAGAUGAGCCUAGGUCGGAUUAGCUAGUUGGUGGGGUAAAGGCCUACCAAGGCGACGAUCCGUAACUGGUCUGAGAGGAUGAUCAGUCACACGAGAGCUGGGACACGGUCCAUAGCCCUAAGGGAGGGACCAGGGGGGUAUAUGGGACAACAGGCGAAAGCCUGGUCCAACCGUCCCGCGUGUGUGGAGAAGGUCUUCGGAGUGUAAAGCACUUUUAGUUGUGAGGAAGGGCAUUAAGUUAAUACCUUGCUGUUUUGACGGUACCAGCAGAAUAAGCACCGGCUAACUUCGUG